CCCCUCUCUCUAUCUAUCUACCUACCUAUCUCUCUAUCUUUCUCGCUCUCUCUCUUUUCUUUGUAGCCCGUCUAUUGUUCGGUUCUCUCGCGCCGCUCUGACGACGAAGACCCCAGCACUGGCAUUGCCUGCCAUUGCUUGUGUCCAUAUCAUUCAACACGGUUCUAUACAUUCAGCAGGCAUCUAGUGAUGGUCUGAACAAGCCGACAAACAAGCAGCCAACAAUAAGGGGCAACAGGCAGUCAAGCAAUAUAAAAAGUAUUGAGUCGCCGCAAACGUAUAGAAGGCUAUAAGGUGCUGAUGGGGAAGGUUGGCUGCCGAGUCCCGGCUAUGCGACGGCCGAGCGCUGAAGAGAGGAGCCGUCGCAGCCCUUCGCCGCUCGCCGGGAUGUAGGAGACAGCAGGUGGUAGGUGUCCCAAAAAACCCCAGAGGCCCCAGACAAAGCAAAGGGUUUUGCUCAGCUUUGCCCUCUGUAUUGCCCGCUUUAUAGCAAAGUGUGACGAAACAACCAAGAAACGAGCUAUAUUGGCGGUUGCUUGCUCGUGCAGCAACGUGCGCGAUUACUAGUUGACGCUGCGCAGCGACAAAGCAACCAGCGGGACUGUGCAAAGUCAGUGCAAACUCUAUGCAACACUGAGUAGAGUGCAGUGAGAAGCUGCGAGUGUAAAGCAUCGAAUACAUCUGCUGCCGGCGUACGAGCAGGGCGACGAACCCACGUCGGAUAUUCCGCCGUCCGUUGCCCAGGCUAAGCAGCAAGGCAACAAAGGGGCGAAAGACGUUGCCCCCAUGCUCGUUCGAAUCGAAAGAAUACCUGCUGGCUAAGAAGGCAGAUCCCAUCAAAUGCGGAGUGUGAAAGUGUGGGCGGCUGCGUGCGUGUGAGGUUACUCAAUAGUAAAGUGAAGCAUCAGCGAUAGCAGUUCUAGCAGCUGCAGCAACAUCAACUAUGGUAGAAACCGAUUGAAGCGUUCAAGCAACGAUUAAGCGACUUUCAUCAACGUAUGUGCUGUUCCGAAGGGAUUUCCAUCGUCGAGUAUCUAGCAGGAUAUAAUACGUCAACGAUUCAACCAGUGAAGUGAAUGAAGUGUGUUUGUCUACGGCCCUUGCCGAUCGUUCAUCAUUGUCGUAUGUAGUAUCAAUGGAUGGUCUUUCUUUUUUUCCUGCUAGCGAGGACGGAACGCAACGGGUGAACGUGCAGGUGCCGGGGUGAGUGAGAUCGUGGUACGAUGUAAGGCAGUAUGUAGGCAUCAGUGAUGGCGGGUAAUGCCAGUGAAAAGAUGAAAACGACGAGACCUUCGACAGAGCCAACAAGGCGAGGUGGUGACAACAUUGGAUUUACGAUUGUUCCGUGCUAUGCUGUGUAGUGCUAAGACUUAUACGGUCUGAUCGCCAAAAUUACCUUCGUUCUGGUCUGCUGGUCGCACGAAUGAGAAUUAUUACAUUAUAUAGUUCAAAUACAAGACGAAGCGAUAUGCUUUAAAAUGGAUUACAAUGAAUGCUGCAGUUACUUUUACAGUGAAAACCAGCGCAGCUACUUUGACAAAUGAAUCGUCCUAACCGGACAUGGAUCAGUAACAAAACGUUUUUCUAGUCUUCUAUAUUUAUAUAAUAGCGCAUAUUUAAUGUUGUCUCUGCUCUGGUGUCGGUGCGGUGUCCAAGUCUCCAUUGAAACGGUGUUCAUGGUAUAACGUAGUUAACAGUGGACGAAAAUAACUAACGGAAAAUAGAGGAUGAGAGAAGUAUCGAAGCAUAAAUGUGACAGUAGCGAACGAUGAAAAAGCAGAAAAUCAAAGAAAGAUAGAAGCUAGAGUACUUUUUGCUACAAGGUGCCGACUGGUCGGUGAAACACCCAGACUCAAUGAUUAAUCAGUGCUGCUGCCAAUUAGGGUAAGGACGACUACAGGGCGAGCAGUGAGGAUCAUCGUACGUAACCAAGUAGAAGUAGUGCGCCGGCAGAACAAAACGGCCUUUGUUUUCCCGAACCAGCCGCGCUCGUAGCGGAGUAAACAAAACAAGCUCGGCUUGCUGGCGCCGGAGUCGGCGCGCUCGCGCCAGAUUCGGCGGAGAUGGUGGCGCAUCUUAAACUAAAAUCGCCAGUGUGUGGCCGCGUUGCUGCCCAACACACGAGGGCUUGGAUCGGUGGAAACGGUGCAGCCAUUACGAGCAGUGGAAGCGGCAGCAGCAGCAGCAGCAACAACAACAACAACGACAAAAAAAAUAGAAGCAGCAACAACAACGGUAGCAAAAACAACGACGACAAUAAUAGUAACAACAGCAACUGCUACUUUAGUAGCUAUUCCAUCAUUAUCAAUCUUAUCACAGAUAUCGUCAGAAUCCGUAGUGGCGACGACGCGACGCACCCAGUAUACUCAUACUCGAUAUUAUCAUACGUAUGGUCUCUUAAACGACGCGGCGGUGUAGGCGUGGGCUGUGUGGCUCCGCUCGUGGACCAUGCGGCGCGCCAACGGGGGGUCCUCGUCAACGGCCUCGCUGCAGUCUAGCCGCCAGUCGAGUAAUGCUGGCCAGGGUUGGAGAACAGGGCUGGACGACUCAGGCGGCAGCGGCAUCGGCGUGGUUCAAUCUUUUGAGCAGCUUGGAGGAACAGCUCCAGUGGCAGCAGGGGGCCCCCCACCGCCGAAUUCGCUACAACAACGACAGCUGCAGCAACAGCAGAAGCAGCAGCAAUCGUCGUCGGCUGCAAGAGCGUACGGCCAACUGCAGCAGUCCAUCCUUCGGGGCAGCAGUAGCAGCAGCAGCAGCAGUAAUACUGUUGCGGUUGCCAGCCUCGGUCGCCACAACGGGCCGUCGUCGCUCACCCCGCUGGGUUCGGCCGACGGCGUCGAUCCGCGCGACGCGCCGUCUGGCACUGGCGGCGCCACUAUUGGCAGUACUGGCUUCGGCGCCAAUCGCCUGGCGGUCCGUACCUGUCCCACAUCCACGUCCAGCCAAAGUUUGGCGGCGGCGGCGGCGGCCACUGCUUCCAACAUCUGCACUCAAAGAUUACUUCCUGAUACGUCAAGUAGUUUAGAAGCGGCAUUAGAGACUAACUCACUGCAUUCGCGUCUCACAGCCACACUGGCGCAGCCACCACUGGACGCGACCACUGACAUGGCCGGGCUCCGGACGCGCGCCGGCCUCACCCAGUCUCCGGCGGACGGGGGUACUCAGCUACGGUCUCGGACGACAUCACGUUCGAACGUGUCGCUCGCCGGGGUCGGCAGUCAACAGGCCACAUCGGAUUACUCGCCGCCUGACGUGGAGACCGUCGCCGGGAAAGUGCCGGAGAACGGGGCCCCGGCCAUGUCCGGGGCCACAGGCAACCGGCCCGAGUCGCCGGCCACGGGUCCUACUCGCUCCGACCAGGUCGCCGUUGAGAUACCGAAGAAAACGCGCGAACAGCGACGCAAAGAAAUCAAAAGAGAGUUCGAAAAGUGGGACCUUGCAGAAAAAUCGGGCUGUCGUUGGACGUUUGUAUUUGACCCUUCUGGCCGUUUGUGCUACUACUGGUCACUGGUGGUCAGCAUAGCAUUUCUGUACAACUUCUGGGUAAUAAUUUAUCGAUUUAGCUUUUCUGAAAUUACGAUGGAGACGCUUCCCGUAUGGUUCACUCUCGACUACAUGGCAGAUUUCCUCUACGUGCUGGAUAUCUGCUUCCACUUUCGGACAGGUUAUUUGGAUGAGGGUGUCCUUCAGACAGAUGGCGAGAAGCUGCGCAACCACUACCUGAACUCAACUAUGUUCUACAUAGACGCGUUGUGCCUGCUGCCGCUAGAUUUCCUCUAUUUAUCGAUCCGCUUCAACUCGAUUCUACGCGGUUUUCGUCUUGUCAAGAUUUACCGCUUUUGGGCAUUUUUGGAUCGGACAGAGCGGCACACCAACUACCCGAACGUAUUUCGGGCCAUCAAUCUCACGCACUACGUUCUCGUGAUCUUUCACUGGAACGCGUGCAUCGCGCACAUCAUCGACAAAAACGAAGUGUUCGGCUCGGGUGAGCGUUGGUUUAACAACUCGCUGUGCGGCAACGAUACCAUGUGCGAGUACCUGCACGCGUUUUACUGGUCGACACUGUCGCUUACCACCGUAGGUGACUUGCCUCGACCCCGAACUAAAGGCCAAUACCUGUUCCUCGUCAUACAGCUUGUUUUAGGACUAUUCCUUUUCGCUACGGUGCUCGGCCAUGUAGCCAAUAUUGUCACGAACGUCAGUGCUGCCCGAAAAGAGUUUCAAGCAAAACUCGACGCGGUCAAAACGUAUAUGCGAAUGCGCCAUGUUCCGGAUCAUCUACAAAAUAAGGUAAUUCGAUGGUUUGACUACUUAUGGAUGACGCAGAAAUCUUCGGAUGAGGAGCGGUCUGUCGGUUGCUUGCCCGACAAGCUAAAGGCCGAAAUAGCUAUCCAUGUGCACCUAGACACACUCAAGCGUGUCGAGAUCUUCCAGAAUACUGAGGCGGGCUUCCUAUGUGAACUAGUGCUUCGACUUCGGCCCGUGCUGUUUUCACCGGGAGACUACAUAUGCAGAAAAGGCGAGGUUGGAAAGGAAAUGUACAUUGUGAACAGGGGCAAGUUGCAGGUCGUGGCCGACGAUGGCAAAACGGUGCUAGCUACCUUGCGUGCAGGGAGCUAUUUCGGGGAGAUUUCGAUCCUCAACAUGGGUACCGCGGGCAAUCGACGCACGGCGUCGGUACGUUCAGUCGGCUACUCGGAUCUCUUCUGCCUGUACAAGCAUGACAUGUGGGACGUGCUGAAGGAUUAUCCAGCCGCCAGAGUGCGACUCGAAGCAAUCGCCGUGAAACGCCUAGAAAAGUACAAAAAGGAGCCCAUCAAGAAAAGUAGGUGGUUGACGCCGCUGACCCAAGCCCACGCCGGUCCCCUGAGUCACCUGGGCCCUCCGGGACAUCCGUGCCUAUCUCAUCCUUCAGGCGUCCCCGGGGCCUGGCACUUUUCCUUGCAGGGCGCCGCGGGCAGCUUUGGCCUGUACUGUGACGCUCUCACCGGCUGUGUGCCGGCAUUCCCUGCGUCCAACUACCCCUAUGCGCGCAUGCACCCGCUCGAUCGGGCCGCCAGAUCUAGGGUCUACGCUUCCGAAGCAGGGCUCGCCGACGAACUGCUUGAGCUUGAGAAAGUGGCGAUGGGGCGCAGUAGAAGCACCCCGGGACUGCUCGAGUCACGCGGGAAGAAGACCCUGGAAGACACUUCGGUGCGAGACGACUUCCUUACCCGACCCAAGCCGGCAAAGGCUUCAUCCACCUGUUCGAGUCCUAGCGGCCAACGAGAAAGCCAUGCGCCGUCGUAUCUUGAAAAUCGAGAACAGCAGUCGGGCUGCUGCAUUGGCAGUGGUACCCCGGCAGCAGGGACGCAGUCUGGGAUACGAGUGUCUGGCCAAAGCACUGGACACGUCGUCCACCCCAGCUCUACUGGAUACGUCGUAUACCCCCCUGGUCAGGAUCCUCAAGCGGGCCACGCUGGGCCUCCCAGCCACUCGAGAGGCCGAUCCCCGAACCUUGUGCACCACGCUCAACAGCACGUGCACACUAUCUCUCACGUUCCCGGUGCCAUGUCCGGUCACUCUCUACACCAACAACAACCUCAACCUCCGUCUCCGCUACCUCACUACCUCAAUCUGCCGGCUACGCCCCACGGCACCGCCGGCGCCACAACUUUCACAUUCCAAGGGCCUCACGCUUUCAUUCCCAUUCCAACUGGAACGCCAGUUCUCGCGAGUCGAAGCUCUCCAUACACGGACUACACGAACAUCAGUCCCGUGAGCAGCAACGAACCAACCACAGUAGCGCCACCUACCGCUCUUUAUGGUACUUCUCCGGGCAACUCAAGUACUGCGACUGGGGCGGGACCCUCUACUCAUCUUCUUGUGCCUAGCCCACUUCAAAUAUCAGGGAUUCAGAGCGGAAUGCAUAGCCCGACGCCCCCAGCCAGUGCUAGGAAUCAAGAGGCUCUGCUGAGUGAAAUUAAACGCUUACGCGAGAGGUUGGUCACUCUCGAGACCGAAAACGCUACGAUGGGCCUCAAGCUCUCUCAGUCGACAUGGCUUGUCGAAAAUCGGUUAGCCGAGAUCGAGAUGCAUAUCUCCACCAAGAACCAGCAACCAAGCCGCGCGUUGCAUCCACCAGUCCUAGGUGGCCUCGGCAGCUUGGGCGGACAGGGUGCUGCCGACAGUGGUGUAGCCGCUCCUACCCUGACGGCUGUUAGGGGCGCUGCAGUUUACGGCAGCGGCGGUGUCGGCGACGUAACAGACACUGAAUCAGCGAGUGCGGGAAGCGACAGCGAUGAGCGGAACCGUGAAUCGAUCAUCUGACCAUCCGCGGCCAGCGGCGCCACGGAUGCCAUGGCAGAUGGAAACGCGCCGGCGCAGACCCCGCGUCGUCGCCUAGCUAGCCGACAACAGCGCCGGGCGCGAAAGAAUGCCGUCACGUCGUCGCCAUCCAGCCUGUCAUCAAUUGCCUCCAAAGUGUACAGCCCAUCGCAGAUCAACAACAGUCAACAAGACUACGAUUUGGAGAGCGCUGUCUGCAAUAACGACAACAGCAACGAUGGCCGCGACAGCAACGUUCACGACAUUACCGACAUUAUUGCUAGCCACAAUCACUACGGUAGUCCACAACGGAUGUACAGUUACCACAAUUACAAAACGGCGGCGGUGACGUACAAAAAAAGCCGCUCGCAAGACUCGAUGCGGAGCGUCGGCCGAGCUGCUUCCAAAAGGCAAGCGGGCCUCCUUGGCAAUGGUAGGCAACGGAGCUUCAGCGAUGAUGAGACGUUCAUGUAGCAAACGAAAACGGAAGCGUAAGAAAAAAAGCACUACAACAAGGCGAUGAUCAGAGCGGAUGGCGGCGUAUAGUGGCGUAGUUCCCUUUUGAUGGAGUUUUGUUCUAUAUGACUCCCUCAAUACCACAGCCCAGACCCUUGAGCAAGGAGACUACAAUGAUGCAGGAGGCAGGCCAUAUUCAUUACGUAUAUAUACAUAUACGUAUCGUUGAAGGAUUUAACCUUUCAACCUUAACGAUCGUAAUGCGGCGCGUUUGCUGAAUGCGGGUAAAUGAGGUAUAUAUUUGAAUGCCAGCUCUAUAAGUGAUAGUAACAACAAUAGGAUUGAUUAAAAAAUGAACGGCAGUUACAACACGGAAAAACAACACAACCAAUAUUAUCAAUAGAAAACGACAGAAAUGAAGCAAACAGCCAAUGCCUAAAGCGCGUGUUCAGCUACGUGGAUACGCGGGGUCGCAGGACGUGACUGCCGAGUUCUGCAAAGUUGAAUAGGGCAGGCUUGGCAUCAACACGUCGCUUCUCCCCCAGAUGGUGUGACCAGAGCCUUCUUUAAGGAUUCCCUUUGAAACAUAGUCAUAUACAGUAGCUGGCAUGGCCAUACAACAACAACAACAACAGCAUAAGUGAAAAAUCAUAAGCGCAUUGGAAAUUAGUAGAAAAUGACAAAAUUAUCAGAGCGGAAGAAGAAUCAACAGAUGCGCAGAAGCGGAAUUAACGGAUGCAACGGUUUACAUUUCAAACACUGAUGACCAGCGCACGCUGGACAACUCGCUAUAUAUGCUUGAGAAGGACCCCGAAGCAAUCGUGCGAAACAAAUUGGACUAUAAGUAUAAAAUAUUAUAUUUGGAGGUUUUAUCAAGCGAAAUACUGUACAAACAUGUCUGCGGUGGCCAAAUAUAGUUGGUAGUUAAUAUGGGAAUGUCGAGAAACGAGCAAGAACACCAGAGAAGCUAUGAGGAAUUUCCUAAACGAACAAUCGUGAAUGGUUUAGUAUUAUGAUGACCGAAAGAAAGUAGGAUGCUUGGUGAGGGAAAACGGCAACAAAGCGCGUAGAGUAAUUCUAUUUUAUUUAAAAUAAUUUUAAUUAAAAUAAACGCUAGAUGAUGGUGGGAUGAUAGAAAUGACAUUGGUAGAUGACGAGCAGUGCCCGCCCAGUCGUUUGUCGACCCAGCGACCUUCUUAUAAAAUGCUCCUUAUGUUCCAGGCGUUUGGGUCAGAUGUUGAUCCUGUAUCUAUCUGUACGCGAUGGCGACGAGUGAUGGAUGUGGUGCAUUGUGUGGCGAAGUUAGUUAAAUGAAACAAAUCUGAUAUUCAAGCCAGUCGAUACGGAAAGACCUUUAACCUAAUAGCUGCCAGGCGCCUUUGAAAGACAGGCUGCGUAGGGCCCAAUAAUCAAUCAGAAAUUCGCAGGACAGCUUCUUUGCAUUAGCUUCAGUAGAAACCAUAUAUAGCUCGGAUACUGGUUGGAGUACAUGCUACUCAUGAUGCACACAGAUUAAAUCAAGGCUCAGAAAUACCUUGAAAUUCAUUGAAGAGUGGCCACAGUCACUUACGAGUAAGCAUAAUGAAUAUAACGAUCUUGAAACAGUGUGCACGUUCGUUGGAGAAGGGCGAAAAAGGAUAAUUGCCGUCACCGCUUUGAGUUAUAAUACCUGUUAGAAGAUAACGUAAUUUUUUCGUUGUUCUUAUUUAGCUAUUGGGUGUUCGUUUCAGCAUGGACAGCAGACUUUAUAUCAUAAAGUUGCUAGUGAAACCUAACCAGGCCAUCUAGCGGUGUCUCUUCUUACGUUGUACAUUAAUAGUGAGGCCUUUGUUGCCUCAAGUUGAUUUUGAGAAAUGAACAAAUGCUUUUCGGUCGUAACUAUCAAGCAAGAAUAACCUAUGAUGGAAUUACAGGGUUGUACUGUUCUACGCGGUGCCAAAUGUGACGCAUCCAGCCUUCGCACGCCUUCUGCUGUUGACCAGCUUCUCUAUGGCAUGGUAGUACCUUGACGUGUUUGUAGUGACUUGUAAGUAAGGGGAUCGCUAAGGACGUCGGGGGUGCCCACGCUUUUACUGCUGUGUAAUUUGCUGUGCAUCAUCAUUAAGACCAACAUACAUCACAUGAUCAACACAUAGCGACGUCCACAAAUUUAUCAUGAAAAUCGCUUCCAGGUGUACGGUAAUGACUCACUCGCGACAUAACCAUCCGUAUGUCAUAGUAUAGUAAUUAACUGGAAACAGAGGAAUACAUACGCGAGGAGUACGUACUCAGGGAAAGUACAUUUUCCAAAUAUUGUAGGUGCAAUCAACGUUCGUUCGUCCUCCAAAAUCUACAAAAUUAAGGUUCGACUCCAAAAAAUUGCCUGAAAAAUAGCAAUCAACGAUAUGCCAAACAAAUUAGAUUGAAAAUGAUACUAGUUUGUCAUUCCGAUGUGUUUUUUACUAUUGCUUGUUACUCACAUACAUAUUCAGACCAUAUGUAUUUUCUAUUUAGGUUAGUGUAGUUAUGAAACCGUACACAGACCUGAAACUAAGUAAUAAGGUCCAAGCCGGUCGCAAUCGGGUUAUAUAGUUGUGCAACUGUCGUAGUAUGGACAGCCCCGAUAUCUGCUUGUUCUCUGGCGCCUGAUCGCAGCAAUGAUUACUUUAUCGUCUAUUGGAACAGACGCAACGAAAAUGAUGCAACAAUCCUAUCGAAGGACAUUACAGGGCAAAGAAAGGCAAAUGGCAAACUAGCAGAAUCACAAAAAUGGUUCGGUAGGCGUACAGCGACUCCGCGGAGCCGAAUGAACUCGUAUAUAGAGCAAACGCGAACCUCUAUAACAUACCCAUUUUAUCCUAUUAGAGUAUUCAUCUCGUUUUUUUCCAUUUGUUUCUUUGUAGCAGUGGCAGUUAUAGAUGGUAGGAAGGCUCGAAUGAUGUUUUCUGGGUAGUGUGUCCGUUUAGCUGAUGAGAAUGCUGGCGGACCUACUGCUGUCCUAGGGGCAGGGCCAUUACCACCCUACAGCCGUAUGGGUCCUAGUCAAGAAGAGACGGCAUUGCUGUUACUGAGGGCUACUGCGACGACGACGAGAAACAUCAGCGUGUGUCGGCCUCGUCUAUCGUACCUUAGUUGUUGUUCUGUAUGUUCCCUGAGGACUAUAAUACCGAUUGCCAGCAGUGCUAUGUUAUACAUCUCUCAGUCUCUCUCUCAAGCGUAGAGGAUAUAACAUCUUUGCAUAUAGUAUAUACAGGGUGCUUGGGACAGAAGAUUGGCAUAUAAAUGAAGAAGCGUGACGAUUGUCGUAUAUACCGACAGAGAAUCUUUGACGAAAGUGUUCGUUCCAUACAGGUACAAUCUGUUUCAAUCUCUACUUCGAUUUGGGGCCUACGCCACUUAUAGAUCUAUUUCAAACAUUCCUUUUAUAAAUUCAGCGAUUUUUACUUCAAACAAGGUUGUACGUAUGAUCUAAAUAAAGUAUUGCCGAAAAACGCCAAACUCGCAAUCUGGUGGGCAAAUUUUAAGCUGAUAAAGGGUCAAAUGCAAGAAAAAAGUACUGGACUAUCCGAAUAGCUUUGCGUACCGUUUUGUCAAUGUGUCAUGUUUUUUUAGUGCGGUUCCUGUUGUAAAAUUUCAACCUCGUCUCAUAAGGGUCUUCCCCGGGUUCUUCAAAAGUAAGGUGAAGACUGGAGACAACGUACACCGCCACGAUGAUAUGGACAUUACGAUAAAUGAUGUUUGCUCAUAUUGCUAAAAUGAAUUGUUGUCUUGGUGAAUUUAUUUUGUUCUACGAAGAACUGACUGACUCUCAUCUAGUGCUAAAAGAACAGGAGAAACGCAUUCCUGAUACGAUGAAAAGUUAGCAAAGGAUAUGAUGACCCACUUUAUCCUAAACACUCUGUAUAAGCUUUAAUACGCAACAAUGUUUUAAUAAGCUAGUUUUAGUGGAUUUAUCGAUUUAUUACCUUUGUACCAUUACGAAUGCCGUCGAAGUCUGGUCGAACACGGCUUUCGGUCCUCGGCAGCUUUUGGCGGUGACACGCGGUACGGCCGCUUGUUCUGUGACUGUUCUAAUUUCAGGGAGAGUUAAGCCUUUGCAACGGUCCUUAAACGGCUUCAGCAACCUGAACAAUCGUCGGUUGCCGAUGCUAGAACACGUCACAACGCCUACGAUUCGCAGUAUCAAAUACUGCGGGGGCAACGACUGAUACUGAGAUGUUGUUAUAUUAAAGCCUAAUAGAAAUUGCUAUUAUUAGUACUACCGUAGCGCGCUCAAUUAACUACCUAAAAAUGAUAGAACUGCUACUACCUAUGUAAAAGAUACGCUUGUACCGUAUUGUCAAACGAACGAGUAACAGCUAUUGAUUACCAUGUAUGACACUUUUACUCACUGGGCGAACGUUUUCAUCGUGUGACAACAUUAGCUGAUUCUCUAUUUCUCUCUCUCGACGAUGAAGCUGCUAUAUUCGACAUCUUUGGAAGAACGCGUUUUGUGCAGUUCUGUGCAGGGUAUCGAAACUUACGUACCCCGUCACGUACGCUAGCACCAACACCAUAGACGAAGUCGUGAGGAUUCGGUAAUGGCUACAGCUGCAGAUCUAUAAACCAGCUUAUUUUGUCUCUUAAAUUUUGCGAGUUCAUUAGACUCUUGUACGAGCUAGUAUGAUACCUGGCCUUUCUACCCAGUAGGAAAAAAUAUCUGCGGAAGUUCGACUUAACUAUACACAUUUUCUGUAGAAGCCACAUGGCGGUGCAACAGGCAGUCUUCAGGCAUUUUUCGUUCAUGUACCUAUUUUAUUAUCAUAGCUGCAUGUGGCUCUGAUACUCACACAGAUAGGCGUAAACACGGCCAAAAUUUCGUCCAGCCUCACGCCAAAGUGUUUUCAGCUCGAGGGGCACUGUACACCUAAACAGAGUGCCACAGUGGACUUCUUACCGUUCGCCGUCGGUAGUACGAACAAUAUUUCUUCGUUUCGUUACAUCGACAAAGGUUUCCUUCCGUUACUAGUUGAGCGGUGAAGUUACGACGUACGAAGUAAAGCGACCUAGCUCUUAAAAUAGUUAAUUUUAAGAUAAGUGUGAGAUAAUUAUGUUUAACGCUUGUCAUUUCGGUUAGCAUACGGUGAUGUCAAUAAUAUUGAGUAUACUUAUUAACCAGAUGGUAGCAACGUAGCUUUGACUGCAUAUUGAUAUUUAAAAUAUGAUUACUAAUAUGAUUGUUAUGGUGAUUUUUACUAAACUAGAUGUGAUAUAGCGGACGACCAGAGACCGAAUUACGCAGAAGGGACAUGAUGUAUGCUCUAUCGAUGGACGCAUGAAUCCGACGCGUAGAUGAUGACGCUGACUCAGAGAAAAAAAAAAGCGCUAUUUCUUACAAUAUUAAAUGAUGAUUACAUUACUUUAGAGCGAAGUGAAGCUGCUAACGUGUCUAUAUGUAUGUGCAAUUUAACUGAGAAAUGCAAGCAUCAUGGUCGUUACAUGUUGACUGUUUGGUAGUAGAAUAAUGUAAAUGUUAAGAAUAAUGUAAGGUCAAACGGGGAUGAGGAGCUCGACAAAAUGAAGUAGGUCGAUUAAACGGAAUAAUUAAGCUGAGAAAGCAUUGGAGAGAAGAUGAAUGAGGUGAGGUAUUAGCGCCGUACUGUGUGGAGAAAUAGAUCCAACGCGUCGCGAGUGUACGGACACUGCUGGGUCUGCGAGCCACAAUCUUGAUGGUUGAUAUGAAGCCAUGAAUCAAAGAUACCACAAGAACAUACCACAGACACACUCACCUACACGCACCACAUAAGCCGUCUCACCGUACACGCUUAGCCAUUCGACCAUCAAGUGAGGAAAAAAGCCAUUUGCCAAUAACAAACUAAGCGUUCCUUCCUUCCUUCCUUCCUUCCUUCCUUCAAGUCGACUGCGACAACUCUGCCAUCAACCACCUGUAGCAGCCGUAGCAUUUUUCGAAAAUUCGCUGACCCUUGCUCGGCUUCCCCUUCGCCAACGCUACGAUCGCAAUCAAUGCCAUUGCUAUAAGUAUUCUGCGAACAAGUCAGCUUCCUGUUCGGCCACUUUUCGUUUUCGUUUCUCUUGGCUGGCCCUUUUCUCCCUCAUUGUUUCCUGCCACCUGGAGCAUAGGGUUUAGCAGGGUUAAACUAGGUCAAGCCCUGGCUCAAGCUUUAGAGAAUGCAAUUUCAGCUAACUGUGCCUUCGGUUGGUCACCAUUAGUUCUACGUGCUUACUUUUCAAUGAAGCGGCGAGCACGGGGCCUUACCGACGAUGAUGAUGAAUAACACCAAGGUUAAAUCAAACAACACCGGAAAGCUGAAGUAUCUCGAGUUCGGCAAUAUUCCCGACCCGGUCCCGAUACUCGACGCCUGGAGUUUCGAGCCUGAUUUUCGUUUAGGGAAAACUACGAGGAGGAAAACGAAAAGACGGAUAAGGCGCACCGCCUGAAGGCGCAGGAGUGUAUACGAAGGGCUAAAUGGGUUGGUUCAUCACGAUGAUUGCUCUAGCGUUGGGGUAGGGCAGUCGUCUUUUUCAAGAAUUGUCUGCUGCGAGAAUCCGCACUAGAGGAUGCCUGCCCUGUCGGUAGGCGGGCUUUCGUCAAGCCAAUGCAGCGCCAUAUGCCGCUGAAGAGUAUGUUGGUUUGUGGCAUACCGGUCAAGUUAAUAUUCCGUGUUCGCCAGCUGGCCGUUUUCGUUUGGGCUGACAGCUCUAAGCGCAGCAAUGCUGAUUACAAUAACGAGACGUUCUUUUGAUUUUUGUGACGUAGCAAAUAUGUGGAGAGGAGACAAGGACCUAAGGGUUAAAAAGAAAAAUUGUAAAUAGAGCUUUUCGAGAAGUAGAUGACUGGGAAGCCUGAAAUCGCUUUACCUGCUCGAACGGCAUGUCAAGAUAAGCGAGGUGGACCAGACAUAGAUUCAUACAGUUAGAUAUAAUGAUGAUACCGAAAGCUAAUCUUGCAAAUCACUAGUCCACUAUCUUCCCCAUACCGCUAAGGAACCAGUAACGGUCAUACGAAGAGCGUAUGCUGAAUCGAGUACACACUAAAACAUAUGAUUUUAGCUUCAGAAGUUUUCAGGUUCGGUAACUUAAGUCUGUUGGCACUAAUUGAUUUUGCAUAAUUAAUUGAAACGGGCUGAAAGAAGUCUGUAAUGAUAGUUUACCUUCUUUCCUAAACUAUGUCGAAUCGACGACUGAUAUAAGAAUCAGUUAUUGGGGAAUUUCCAUUUUCUCACGUUUAGCAUUUGAAGUGAUGCAUUUUCUACCAAAAAUGAAGUCCACUUAUGUGCGAACAUCUCAUGAGGUCCUACACGAAUUUGUCAUCGUACAAUUAAUACUUUUACGAAUUUAAAAAAACUGUUACUAAGGGACUAAGCUUGCUUGUCACUAUAGACGAUUUAAUUUUCAUAGAGUGCCCUUGGCUGUCACAUGGCUUCACCCGACGGGAAUGUCUGCCACCCAACUGGGCGGUGAAAAGGACAAAAUCGGAUGCGCUAAAACAUCUCCAAAGAAGCUAAUCUCUACACGCUUGCUACAAUAUAUUUUUUGACGUAAGCUGGGUUCUAUAAUGUUUAUCCUGGACUAUUUCGCGUUUUUGUUAUACGGUACACAGGCAUAGAUCUAGACACAUAUACGUCAAUACGGAUAUCUAGUUUUACCGCAGCUGCUAUGGCUGGUUAUUGUUAUCUAAAAAUCUAAUACUUAAUAGCCAUUAUUUACUAAAUGGAACGGGUCUAUAGUCUGUGUUUUAAGUCCCUUCUGUUGCUGGUCGACAACGACGAAAACGAUUUCUACAGAAGGAGCUGAAUGGAUACGACAUUAGCGGAUAAGAAUUCAUAGUUAUCUAGACAGAAAAAGACGGGCGAACAAAAAACUAAGACGGUUUUCGGGAGAAAAAGGAAGACUUGUGGACCAUUGAAGGAACCCUCUGGUGGAAACCGGCUCUCAUCGUUCCUUCUUACCGCAAACCACUAAAUUGUGAUUGCUUAUAUAGAAAGACCAGAUUAUGAAGGAGAUAACAUAGUUAUACUGAUGCUGAUAAAGAAGGUUAUAGAUAUAUGGAUGAUAAUUAUUGAUGAUGAAAAUGUGGAGAUGACUGAUCGAACAUU